rnacentral:rRNA from 1 species
UUGGAGGGCAAGUCUGGUGCCAGCAGCCGCGGUAAUUCCAGCUCCAAUAGCGUAUAUUAAAGUUGCUGCAGUUAAAAAGCUCGUAGUUGAAUUUCGGGACCAUCAUAUCGGUCGUGCCUCGGUACGUACUGGCAUUGUUGGUUUCUCCCUUCUGACGAAUCAUGAUGUCAUUUAUUUGGUGUUGUGGGGAAUCAGGACUGUUACUUUGAAAAAAUUAGAGUGUUUAAAGCAGGCUCACGCUUGAAUACAUUAGCAUGGAAUAAUGAAAUAGGACGUUUGAUUCUAUUUUGUUGGUUUCUAGGAUCGACGUAAUGAUUAAUAGGGAUAGUUGGGGGCAUUAGUAUUCAAUUGUCAGAGGUGAAAUUCUUGGAUUUAUUGAAGACUAACUACUGCGAAAGCAUUUGCCAAGGAUGUUUUCAUUAAUCAAGAACGAAAGUUAGGGGAUUGAAGACGAUCAGAUACCGUCGUAGUCUUAACCAUGAACUAUGCCGACUAGGGAUCGGAUGAUGUUAAUUUUUUAAUGACUCAUUCGGCGCCUUACGGGAAAC